UCUUUUAAUUUGAUUUUGACUAAUGAAAUUAUUUGCUUCUUGGUAACAUUCUUAACUUUUUGCUGGAUAUAUUUUUUUGCCGUUCCUCAACUCUGACCCUUUCGGCGGGGGAUUCCAAUUCAUCGAAUUUGCUUGUUGAUAUUAUUAUGGCCCCCUUCGAAGAAGGAGGGGUAUAUAUUGUUUUGCAGAUGUCGGUCGGUAGGUCGUUCGGUCAGUCGGAAUGUAGACCAAUCCGUUUCCGGAUGAUAACUCAAGAACGCUUAGGCCUAGGAUCAUGAAAGUUGAUAGGGAGGUUGGUCAUCACCAGCAGAUGAACCCUAUUGAUUUUGAGGUCUGUAUGGCAAAGGUCAAGGUCACAGUGACCCUGAAUAAUAAAAUGGUUUCCGGAUGAUAACUCAAGAACACUUGAGCCUAGGAUCAUGAAAGUUGAUAGGGAGUACCCAAAACCCUGAAAUGAGAGCGCUUGAACAAUGUGAAGUUUGUCGCAUAGAAGGGGAUUGACCGCCUUUGUGUAUAUAAGUCUACAACUUCUCAGAUUUGACUGAAGACAAUUGUUUGGUGUUGUGAAUAGAGAAAUAUAUGAGGUAGGGCAGUUUUCCAUAAGCACAACAAGAAGUUCACAUUUGUUGCACAGAUUUGUGUCUCACAUGUAUGGAGUUGAAGGAAUAGUUACAGGAAAAGGGUACAGAAUAUGUAAGGAUAUGAUAGCCAAACAUCUUCCCCAGGAUUCGAUGCGGUAACCUUCUGAUAGAAAAAUGUACCCGUUGUGCAAAGGGGAUAAGCUGGCUUGGUGACAGGAAAAAGAAAAGGAAAAUGACCCCAGGAAAGAUAAGAUACAGCAGAUACAAGUUGCUAAGGACAAGAAUGUCUGUUAUUCAUGGAAACAUCAGAGUUCAGCAGGUUCUUGAAACAGGCCAUUUGAAACCAGAGACUACCAGUACAUUUUUGGUGAUCAUUUGACGAGGCCAGUUGUAGUGUUUUAACAUGAGACAGGAAAAGUACAUGUAUAUACUCUGGUUACAGAUUUGCAGUAUCAACCAGCAUCCACAGCCAUUCUAAAUAUAGGACCAACACAAUCAGACAAGCUGGCAAGAUGUUCAAGAGUGGUGACAUGCUGCCCAAGAUUCUAGUCUGGAGAUACCAUCGGCGAUCUUAGAAAUUUUUUUUAAGAUUUAAUAAAAAUGUGACAUUGACUUAAGACUACAUUUAUACUGUUUUCAGUCAAAGGCUUUUCUCUGUUUUUUUUUUUUUCAACAUUAAUAAUAUCUGUCAUGUGUUUACGAAUCGGAUAUAAAUAUCCCUCCAGAGGGCACCUGCGCAUUGGGUGGUAAUGAGGCUUGCCGAAUUACCGCUCAUACGCAGGUGGCCGAGGGACAGAUAUUUCCAUCCGAUUCGUAAACACAUGACUGAUAUUUUUUCUUGCAUAUCGUAUACAUGCUACCAUUUUAAUCAGCAGAAUUUCUUGCAAAUUGUAUUUUACAGAUAAGAGCUAGAAAUACUUUCUUUAUAGCACACUUUCUUACAGUAGAGAAUGAACACAAAGCGCAGGAAAUUAACGUCCGUAAGCAGAAGUGACAUCAUGAUGUUUCGCGUUACGCACAAUAACAAUGUUCCACUUUAGUUUAAUUGUUUGUAGCGUAACGUUAUGUUCUUACGGUAAACUAAUGUAUUUUGAAUCGAGGAAUAUACUAUAAGGAAAGGAGAGAAACUAUCGAGGUAACUGCUUUUUUGUAUUUUACAUAAAAUUAUAAUAUAUUAUCAGUGCUUGAACCACUACACUAGUUGUCAUUAACAGCACGAGAGUCAUCUGGCAUGGGGGUGCCAGAUGGGUUUUGCCGGCAUGGGUAAAAUCACCGGAAACGCCAGUCCGAUGUGCAAGAAAUUAUCUGAAAAAUAACUGUAUUGAGACAAGUUUGUAUGUCAAAAUAAAGCAAUGAAAAAUA